CUAUCGCGCACAGCAUGUUCGUGGAGAACGUGGUGCUAAAUGACUUGCAGACGACCUGAUUUCUGGGGAUAAACAAAGUUUAUCCCCAGAAAUGAUCAUAUCUGAGACUAUUCUAACCAAUAUAACGCAAAAACACGUCUAAUCCACAUUAAACACUGAAACAUUAUGAAUAUUCAAAAUAAACAAAACAACAAAUAAAGGGAAUUAUGAAGUAAACUAAAUUAUCCUUCGAAAAUGAGGUUUAGUUGAGACCAAAACAUCAGACUGGAGAUUUUCAUCAUCCAGUUUUAUUAAAGCGAAAAAUAAUAAAUCAUGCAAAUUAUUGAAUUUGUUUUAAUUCAUCAUGCGAUUAAUUGAUCUAUUGGUUUAUUUUACCAACAAUAAAACGAAUCUGGAAGGAAAACUGAGAAACUUGGGGAAGAGAUAACUUAAAAAGUCAGUUUUUUUUCCACCCACAUCCAAUUUAAAUAAUGUUUUAAAUCUCACUUUCUUUUCUAGAAGAAAAUAAAUAAAAAAUGAAAUUAUUUUCUAAUAGUGUCUGUGAGUGUCAGAGUGAGGAUACAAGAACUGCUCUUUAAUUUUAAUAAAGACAAUUUUACCAGAAUGUCCUGAAAUUUAGAGAAAAAAGUCGAUUUUAUGGCUCAUCAGGUUCUGAAACAAGUUAUUUAAAUUUUUGUUAUUGUUCAUGUUCUCAAAAUGCCAACAACCAGAAGCUGUAAAGCAAGAUGGCCGCCCGCCGUGCUGACAUCACCAAGAACUGUGGAGACCAAACGGUUGCUUUGGCGGGAAAAAAAAUCUGAUUUUUCACAAAUUAAAUCUUCAAAAACCAAAAAUGUGAUUCCACAAACGCUGGGGGAAAUAUUUACUGGGAGGCUUCGGACCGACUGGCGACCAAACGUCACGAGCAGCUGCUGCCUUCGUGCUGCUUUUGUUUCAGGUUCAUCUGAAACAGCCAUGCUGGGGUCAAAGGUCAGAGCAGACCAGCAGCAGCAGCUCUCUGGUCCUCCUGGAAUCAUCCUCUCUGUCCAAGUCUCAUAAACAGAGAUUGUAUUAUUUUUAAAUUUUUCAGUAGAAAUUGUCUUUUCAGAGAUGCAGACCAGAUGUUUACCUUCCCGUCUGCCAGCUAAUUAUCUUCCACCCUCGGGAACAAAAUGUACAAAAUGUUCUCCAACUCAGAGGCUGUGGAGCAUCUUUGGUUUGAAAGUCAGUUUGUUGCAAAGAAACAUUCAUGCAUUAAUCCUGGACAAAAAACCCAACAAAAUAGAAAAUAUCAACUCAAAAAGUUUGGAAAACUGAACUUUCCUUAUUUCCUUUUGUUUCACUAAGAUGUUAAACCUUUAAUUUGUUGUGAGUCCAGGCUGCAUUGUACUGCAUUGUGCUGCAUUGUGCUGCAUUGUGGAAGUAUUUAUUGUGCAUUAUUGCUGUGAAGUGAAUUCAGUCAAACUGAAGCACAUAAAUAAAUUCCUGUUGAAUCUUUUAGCUGGAAAUAUUUCAGUUCCUGAGGAAAAGGAGCCACAGGUUUCUGUCGUUCCUGCACUUCAGACGCGCCGACGUUUAUUUAUUCCUCCUGGUUUCUGAUGAAAACGACGCUUUGAGCAGCGUUUACAUGUUGGCUCGGCCCAACUCGGCUCGGCUCGGCCCGGACCGAGUUGGGUUACAUUACAACCAGGAGGAAUAAAAAAACGUCGGCGCGUCUGAAGUGCAGGAACGACAGAAACCUUGUUUUCCUCCUGUAAACAAGUUGGACAUUAAAUAUUUGAUUUGGAACAUGUUUAUGUGUUUUAGUAACACAUUAAAAUGUUUUACUUUGUAAUUUUCUCACAGUGGAAAAUGUAAAGUACAACACAAACUGUCUUGAAAUGAUCCGACACAAAUCUGGAACAAACUUCUGGGAAAACUGUAAAGCAGCCGAAACGCUGAUUCCUUUAAACCCAGAAUAAAAUCCACCGGGUUAGAGCUGUUUUUGAUGUUUGAGAGUAAU